rnacentral:rRNA from 1 species
UGGGGAAUAUUGCACAAUGGGCGCAAGCCUGAUGCAGCAACGCCGCGUGAGGGACGACGGCCUUCGGGUUGUAAACCUCUUUUGGCAGGGAAGAAGCGAAAGUGACGGUACCUGCAGAAAAAGCACCGGCUAACUACGUGCCAGCAGCCGCGGUGAUACGUAGGGUGCAAGCGUUGUCCGGAAUUAUUGGGCGUAAAGAGCUCGUAGGCGGUUUGUCGCGUCUGCUGUGAAAACCCGAGGCUCAACCUCGGGCCUGCAGUGGGUACGGGCAAACUAGAGUGCGGUAGGGGAGAUUGGAAUUCCUGGUGUAGCGGUGGAAUGCGCAGAUAUCAGGAGGAACACCGAUGGCGAAGGCAGAUCUCUGGGCCGUGACUGACGCUGAGGAGCGAAAGCAUGGGGAGCGAACA